UUGUCAGACUAGCUAUGGUGACCACCCAGCCUUCGGCCCUAGAUUAAGUCUGUACGCACACAUGUAUAAUGUGCUGACUAUAAUUUUAAGAACUUAGGUAGAUAAGUCGCCCCACCGGAGAUGUCGCGCCGAGAUGGGUCAGACAGUAGAUUAGUUUUUUUACAAUUAAAAGUACCUCAGAAUCGGUAA